CGGCGAACGGGUGAGUAACACGUGGGCAACCUACCCAGAAGACCGGGAUAACGGCUCGAAAGGGCCGCUAAUACCGGAUAAUGUCGGGGUACCGCAUGGUACUCCGAAGAAAGGGGAAACCCGCUUUUGGAUGGGCCCGCGUCCCAUCAGCUAGUUGGUGAGGUAACGGCUCACCAAGGCGACGACGGGUAGCCGGCCUGAGAGGAUGGUCGGCCACACUGGGACUGAGACACGGCCCAGACUCCUACGGGAGGCAGCAGUUGGGAAUCUUGGGCAAUGGGCGAAAGCCUGACCCAGCGACGCCGCGUGAGGGAAGAAGGCCUUCGGGUCGUAAACCUCUGUCAUGGGGGAAGAAGCAAGUGACGGUACCCCAAGAGGAAGCCCCUGCUAACUACGUGCCAGCAGCCGCGGUAAUACGUAGGGGGCGAGCGUUGUCCGGAUUUACUGGGCGUAAA
rnacentral:rRNA from 1 species